UGUUCAAAUCACACUGAAAACACUGGUUCUCAUUUGAUCACCAAAGUUAAGCAGUGUUGAGCCUGAUCAGUACUCAGAAGGGAGACUG